UAGAGACUCCUACGGGAGGCAGCAGUGGGGAAUAUUGCACAAUGGGCGCAAGCCUGAUGCAGCCAUGCCGCGUGUAUGAAGAAGGCCUUCGGGUUGUAAAGUACUUUCAGCGAGGAGGAAGGUGUUGUGGUUAAUAACCGCAGCAAUUGACGUUACUCGCAGAAGAAGCACCGGCUAACUCCGUGCCAGCAGCCGCGGUAAUACGGAGGGUGCAAGCGUUAAUCGGAAUUACUGGGCGUAAAGCGCACGCAGGCGGUCUGUCAAGUCGGAUGUGAAAUCCCCGGGCUCAACCUGGGAACUGCAUCCGAAACUGGCAGGCUAGAGUCUUGUAGAGGGGGGUAGAAUUCCAGGUGUAGCGGUGAAAUGCGUAGAGAUCUGGAGGAAUACCGGUGGCGAAGGCGGCCCCCUGGACAAAGACUGACGCUCA
rnacentral:rRNA from 1 species